rnacentral:rRNA from 1 species
UGAGAGCUUGCUCUCAAGAAGUUAGCGGCGGACGGGUGAGUAACACGUGGGUAACCUGCCCAUAAGACUGGGAUAACUCCGGGAAACCGGGGCUAAUACCGGAUAAUAUUUUGAACUGCAUGGUUCGAAAUUGAAAGGCGGCUUCGGCUGUCACUUAUGGAUGGACCCGCGUCGCAUUAGCUAGUUGGUGAGGUAACGGCUCACCAAGGCAACGAUGCGUAGCCGACCUGAGAGGGUGAUCGGCCACACUGGGACUGAGACACGGCCCAGACUCCUACGGGAGGCAGCAGUAGGGAAUCUUCCGCAAUGGACGAAAGUCUGACGGAGCAACGCCGCGUGAGUGAUGAAGGCUUUCGGGUCGUAAAACUCUGUUGUUAGGGAAGAACAAGUGCUAGUUGAAUAAGCUGGCACCUUGACGGUACCUAACCAGAAAGCCACGGCUAACUACGUGCCAGCAGCCGCGGUAAUACGUAGGUGGCAAGCGUUAUCCGGAAUUAUUGGGCGUAAAGCGCGCGCAGGUGGUUUCUUAAGUCUGAUGUGAAAGCCCACGGCUCAACCGUGGAGGGUCAUUGGAAACUGGGAGACUUGAGUGCAGAAGAGGAAAGUGGAAUUCCAUGUGUAGCGGUGAAAUGCGUAGAGAUAUGGAGGAACACCAGUGGCGAAGGCGACUUUCUGGUCUGUAACUGACACUGAGGCGCGAA